rnacentral:rRNA from 1 species
AGCGGCAAAAGCUCAAAUUUGAAAUCUAGCACCUUCGGUGUUCGAGUUGUAAUUUGAAGAUGGUAACCUUGGGUUUGGCUCUUGUCUAUGUUCCUUGGAACAGGACGUCAUAGAGGGUGAGAAUCCCGUCUGAUGAGAUGCCCAUUCCUAUGUAAGGUGCUAUCGAAGAGUCGAGUUGUUUGGGAAUGCAGCUCUAAGUGGGUGGUAAAUUCCAUCUAAAGCUAAAUAUUGGCGAGAGACCGAUAGCGAACAAGUACAGUGAUGGAAAGAUGAAAAGAACUUUGAAAAGAGAGUGAAAAAGUACGUGAAAUUGUUGAAAGGGAAGGGCAUUAGAUCAGACUUGGUGUUUUACGAUUAUCUUCUCUUCUUGAGUUGUGCACUCGUAUUUCACUGGGCCAGCAUCGAUUCGGAUGGCAAGAUAAUGGCAGUUGAAUGUGGCUUCACUUCGGUGGAGUGUUAUAGCUUCUGCUGAUAUUGCCUGUCUGGAUCGAGGGCUGCGUCUUUUGACUAGGAUGCUGGCGUAAUGAUCU